CCGGGCGUCAGCUUGAUGACUCUAGAUAACACCACAGAUCGCACGGUCACAGUACCGGUGACAUAUCCUUCAAAUGUCUGACUUAUCAGCUGUCGAUGGUAGACUCUGUGUCUACCAUGGCGCUCACGGGUGACGGGGAAUCAGGGUUCGAUUCCGGAGAGGGAGCCUGAGAAACGGCUACCACAUCCAAGGAAGGCAGCAGGCACGCAAAUUACCCACUCCCGGCACGGGGAGGUAGUGACAAAAAAUAACGAUACGGGACUCAUCCGAGGCCCCGUAAUCGGAAUGAGAACACCCUAAAUCCUUUAACGAGGAUCUAUUGGAGGGCAAGUCUGGUGCCAGCAGCCGCGGUAAUUCCAGCUCCAAUAGCGUAUAUUAAAGUUGUUGCGGUUAAAAAGCUCGUAGUUGGUUCUGCGUGCCACGCU
rnacentral:rRNA from 1 species